CGAAAACGCAGCUUUUAUUUAAUAAAAAGAUGCACGAGGUUCCCUUUUCGUCCGUGAUGUUAAAGUUAAAGUCGGAUUUAAGGUUUAGACCAGAGUCGAUCGGCGGCGUUCAUAAUCAUUUCUGUGGAAUGUCCUCACGAGGAUAGUGCAAGUAGUACAAGGGCGUGGGUGUGUGCGUGUGCGUGUGCGUGUAAGUGUGCGUGCAAGUGUGUGUCAAUGAACAGAGGAAAAAAAACAGAUAGAGAAACAAUUAUUAAUUAUUUUGAGCAAGUCAAGGAGCACUUGAGUGACAGAUUAUUUCCGUGUGUGUGUGUGUGUGAAUGAAUAUCAGGAAUGAAUAAAUAGUAAAAUGCGACACAGCACUAUCAUCUCUCAGUGAUGUUGCCUUAAUGUCCUUGGUGCUUGAAUUCAUGAGAAGAAACUCCUUUAAAAAAUAAAAUCCUUUCCACACUAACCUGUUUGAAUCCUUUUCUUUUCACUGCCUCCGCUCGCUCCUGGCGUAGGUGUGUUUGUGUCACAGUGUUUGGCUACGUUCACAUUCCUGUGCUCCGGGGCUCGGCUGACAGCUCAUCAUCCGUUCACGAUCGGGUCAAGGUCCUGUUUUUACUCCUAUUGAAGGUUUCUCAGCUGCCGACGGACGAUGACGACGACGGCAGCGAUGUGCACGCGCGCAGCACGACGCCCUGAAUCUCUCAGCAUCACAGGAUAAGCGGUACAGAAAAUGGAUGGAUGGAUGGAUGCAACCCAUUGAGCUGAUUAAAUAAGCAAUAACAUGGCCUUCUUUAGGCUGGUUGAGUAUCUGGAGCAUCAGCAUUUGUGGGUUUGAUUAUAGACUCAAAAUGACCAGGAAAAAAAAAACAACUCUACUGAAACUCAUCAGUGUUUCCUUGUUCCAAGAAAGGACGGCUAUUCCAUGCAUCAGAUCGGCAAGAAACUGAAGAGUUCAUUCAAAGGGAUGAAGCAUUUCUACAGCGCUGUCGAAGGACUCGGAGCUUUGACUGAAGAAACCAGACCCGAUACCGUACCUUCGGACGAGGCCGAUUUUACGAGGCACAAAGCCCCGCCCCUAAACACCCAUCCGAAACAGGAGCGUAACAGAGGUGGUACGCAGUCUGCGAAGUGUGUAACAUCCAGCUGAACUCGGCCGCACAGGCGCAGAUACACUACAACGGGAAAACCCACCAGAAGAGACUGAAACACAUGAACAGCGGAAACAAAGGUAGGACGCACACGCGUUUGGGUUUGAGCGGCGAGCUAUACACAGCAUCGUAGGUUUUAAUCGCGGUGUCGGUGCAGAACUCAAAGCAUUUCCUACAUGAGGAGUGUUCAUUCGCUGCACAGCGUGAAGCACAGGUUUCACAUUUCACCUCAGUUUAGGAGGAGGAGACCGCCGCCUCCUGUUCGUUCCUGAUCAACACCUAGAAAACUAGUCUGUCCAGCUCAUGUCUGAGAGAAUGAAAUACAGAGCACGAUGGAUCGGUUCAUAAAAUCGACUCUUCCAUCAUGCAUCCCGAACCACAUGGUAUACUUGUUAGUUCAUGUCGCUAGUCAUGUUGUGUAUGAUUCCUCAGCGUCAAUCACAUAAAGUUACAAUGAGUGAAUUUAGAAGGGGCGGGGCAUGGUGGUUUAGUGGGUAGCAUGUUUGCUUCACACCUCCAGGGUUGUGGGUUCGAACCCCACCUCGACCUCGUGCGCGCGGAGCUCGCAUGUUCUCGCCGUGCUUCCGGGGUUUCCUCCGGGUGCUCCGGUUUCCCCCUCCGGUCCGAAGACACGCCAUUUCCAGAUGAUUUCCUGCGACGGAUUGGCAUCCCGUCCAGGGUGUCAGCCACCUGACAGUUUAUUAUUAUUUUAUUUAAAUUCUUGAUUCCUAAUUUAAGAAUUAUUGUAAGAUUUGAACCAUUUAUCACGCGUCAGUAAAGGUGGCUCUCAUUUUUUUUCUGCAUGCAAAUAUACCGUGUAUCUGGGUCGUCUGCG
ensembl:lncRNA